AGAAUUUAAUGUCAAUCUCUGGGUAAAGUAUGUGUAAUUGCUUUGGAGGACGACACCCUGAAACAAAAAUGCAGACCACAUGCAACUCCCAAGACAUCGAGCCCUUAAGGACACUCUUUGAAAGCACAGCAAGCCUUUGCCCACUGCCUCCCAGCUCUUGGCUCAGCAUGAAGAUGGCUAGGCAGAUUUACUGAGGACACAUGGAACAAUAAUCUGAAGAAACAACAAGAGUGCAUGGUCCAUAUGCUAUGGGCCCGGCACCGUGCUAAGUGAUUUAUCAGUGCCUUCAUUUUCCUCUUUCAUGGAUGAGGAAACUGAUGCUCAAGAGGCUAACCCAGAGUGGAACAACUUGUGUGUGACACCACUGGGAUUCUCACCCUGCUCAAACAAAGCCUGUGCUUGUGACUGCCGAGGACACAGUGUUUUGCCACCCAUCCGGGCAGUACCGUGCCAGGAACUCUGGGAACUGUAGAAAAUGGUCAGCUGCAGAUCCUGUCUUCAAAGGGUUUUAAUCGAGGUGAUAAAUGGGAGUGAAAUGUAAUGAGGAUCCAGAGCUCUACCACUGAGCUAUGCCCCCAAUCCUGACCUAAAUCAUAACGGAUACUCUCUGCAAAGUGAAGAGCCUGGAUAAGUGCACUGAGCUGAUCAAUGGCACCAAAGACCCAACCUAGGAGGAGAGGAAUGAUGCAUUUUGUGUUGUUGGAAGUAACCAGAGAGACCACAGAGAAAGGAGUGAUGAAAAUUGAUCUGGAAGCUGACCUAUGGCAGUGAGAGGAAAAGAGACACCUUCAAGAGUCACUUGAGACAUGAGAGGAUGGUAUCAGAGAAUAUUUCCAGGAGAAAAUAAAACAAAGCAAAACUUAAAGAUCCAUUGCUCCUUGGCUGGAAGUGUGGGUGCUGAGAGGAUUGCAGAAGGUCUCACAAGGAACCUAGGGAGAAAGGCACUCUCCCCGAGAACAGAUGUCCUGCAAAGCAUGUGGUGACCCAGUUGCUCUCUUCACCAUUCGUGGUCAAGCAUCACUAAGACUUAGCACCUAUGAACAGGAAAUUUCCCUUCACCGAAGAAACAGAUAACUAUUCCUAAGAGACUGGAAACAAAAGAAAGCCUGAAUAUACGCUCUAACUCAUUUAAUUCCCACUUUAUCUGCUAUUAAUUACUUAUUUUUCUAGGCAUAUUCUCUUACAGUUGCUCCUAGUUGCUUGCUUUUAGUUGAUUUUUAAAAUUACCAAUUUUAGAUUCAUAUGUGGUAGCACACACCUGUAAUCCCAGCACUUGGGAGCUGAAGCAGGAGGAUUGCCAUGAGUUCAAGGCCAGCUUAGGUUACAUAGUAAGUUAUACACCAGUUUGGAUUACAUAGAAAGAUUCUGUCUCAAACAAGACAAACAAACAAAUAAACAAAAGCCUCAAAUCACCAGUUUUAGAGGUAUAAGUAACACCUCUAACCUGUGGGUCACAAUGGUAACAAUAGAUGGCUUGCAUACAUAUGCAAAGAGCACAGAUUACUUCCUAAUCUCCAAUUACCUUUCCAUUUAUUAACAUCCCCAAAUCUCACAGAGACAGAUUUGAGACUCUCCUGCAUCCACUUGGCCACCUUUUGAAUAAAUUCUCUUUGGCAAAGCUCAUUUUAGUCCUAGGCAAACUACAGAGCAGUCAAAUGGACCUGGUUGACCUUGAAGAGCUGUUUCUAUGUUCAUAUCCUCUGUGCAGUCGUGUCGAUUACUAUUUUGUCAUCUGUGUCCAUAAAUAAGAGUUUUUACCAUAUAAAAAUUUUAUA